rnacentral:rRNA from 1 species
CUUGCUUCUCUUGAGAGCGGCGGACGGGUGAGUAAUGCCUAGGAAUCUGCCUGGUAGUGGGGGAUAACGUUCGGAAACGGACGCUAAUACCGCAUACGUCCUACGGGAGAAAGCAGGGGACCUUCGGGCCUUGCGCUAUCAGAUGAGCCUAGGUCGGAUUAGCUAGUUGGUGGGGUAAUGGCUCACCAAGGCGACGAUCCGUAACUGGUCUGAGAGGGUGAUCAGUCACACUGGAACUGAGACACGGUCCAGACUCCUACGGGAGGCAGCAGUGGGGAAUAUUGGACAAUGGGCGAAAGCCUGAUCCAGCCAUGCCGCGUGUGUGAAGAAGGUCUUCGGAUUGUAAAGCACUUUAAGUUGGGAGGAAGGGUUGUAGAUUAAUACUCUGCAAUUUUGACGUUACCGACAGAAUAAGCACCGGCUAACUCUGUGCCAGCAGCCGCGGUAAUACAGAGGGUGCAAGCGUUAAUCGGA